UAACGUAGGGUGCAAGGCGUUGUCCGGAAUUAUUGGGCGUAAAAGAGCUCGUAGGCGGUUUGUCGCGUCGAAUGUGAAAACCCGGGGCUCAACCCCGGGCCUGCAUUCGAUACGGGCAGACUAGAGUUCGGUAGGGGAGUCUGGAAUUCCUGGUGUAGCGGUGAAAUGCGCAGGAUAAUCAGGAGGAACACCGGUGGCGAAGGCGGGACUCUGGGCCGAUACUGACGCUGAGGAGCGAAAGCGUGGGGAGCAAACAGG
rnacentral:rRNA from 1 species